rnacentral:sRNA from 1 species
CGGGGACGAGCUGGAGUUCCCGCUGUUUCUGAAGUCAGCGGUCUUUUCCUCCUUGUAAGAAAUAAGGUCUUUAUAUCAUAAAGGUAAGCAAAGAAUAAAAAGGCACAAAGGCCGCAAGCAACGCACACACGCAAAUAUCGAACUACAGCACUCGACCCGCGCAUUCUCCGCCGACCUUACGUCUCUCCCAGCAGGCUCCGGGAGCCACCGCGAGACUUCAUCAUUUCUCGCGAGAUUUAUCGGCAGCCAUCUUCUUGGGGGUGCUGGGAGCCGGGAAGACCCCCUGAAUCGUUCCCAUUGAGCUGCCCUUCGCCUUCGCUUUUUUUACUUUUGCCUUUUCGACGCAGCCAACAAGCACCUGGUCCCGAGGCUGAGAGAAGGCUCGGGUCUAAGCGCGUGUCGCGCUUCCGGUCUGGGUAGAUUUGCUGGGGAAGAGGGAAGGGGGAGGGCCCGGGCAAACCGUUGCUGUUUCAGCCCGGGCCGGGGGCCGGGGACGGGGAGCUCCUGGCACCCCGUGCACUUGUGGCCUGCGGCGGUCCUUGCAGAGCUGUUCGCCGACCGGGGCCCGCGGGAACCUGCCACCGGCGCCUCCCACCGCGGCCCACGCGGGCGGCGCGCGGAGGAGGGGGCGGGGGCAGCGGCGGCUGUAGCGGCCGCGACCUGGGCGGGCGGAGGAGUGUGACGGGCCUUAGGGCCGCUGUGGAUGGUUUCUAAAAUGAUCAUUGAAAACUUCGAGGCACUCAAGUCCUGGCUCAGCAAGACUCUCGAGCCCAUCUGUGAUGCAGAUCCAUCCGCCCUAGCAAAAUAUGUUCUGGCUUUGGUAAAGAAAGACAAAAGUGAAAAAGAGUUAAAGGCAUUAUGUAUUGAUCAGCUGGAUGUAUUUCUUCAGAAAGAGACACAGAUAUUUGUGGAAAAACUUUUUGAUGCUGUGAAUACAAAGAGUUACCUACCUCCUCCAGAGCAGCCAUCAUCAGGAAGCCUGAAGGUAGAAUUUUUUCCACACCAAGAAAAAGAUAUAAAGAAGGAAGAGGUAACGAUUUGUGUUAAUACCUUACAGGUUAUUUAAACACAUAAGAGGAAUAACCAAACUGAGUUUUUAUCUUCUAUAUCUUUGUGUUGGAGUCCUCAGGACCACUCCCAGUUCAAAUGAUUUUUCUAGGAGGACUCAUAGGACUCUGCAUAUAAUUAUGCUUAUGGCCCUGGCUUAUUUCAGCAAAAGGAUAUAAAGCAAAGUCAGCAAAUGGAAAAGGUGUAUGAGGCCAAGUCCAGUGGAAAACAAGCACAAGCUUACAAAGUCCUCAGAGUUGCACAGGAUGUGCUUAAUUCCCCUAGCAGUGAACUGUAACAACACAUGGGAAUUAGGCAAGCUCCUUAGAAACUGCCCUGCGUUCUUAUUUGGAACUGGUCACAUAGGCACCGCCUACCUAGUAUGUACCAAAAUUCCAGACUCCUGGGAGGAAGGCAGAUGUUCAGUGUAGACCAUAUUGUUUCAUAACUAAUUCAGGCAUAGUGAACCAUUCCUUAUCAGGGGGUAAUGGGAACCCUCGAGAAAUCAAAGUGCCCAGGAGCCAGCCUUACAAGCAUGCUGGUUUUCUAAGGUUAGUAUUGUCAGGCCUGCUUUUACUCUGCACAAUAUCUUACAGACAUAGAGUCUUAAUAUCUGUUCUAUGAAAAUAAUUAGGUUGACAAUUGGUCUGUUUGCUUUUGUCAUACAUGUAUUUAGUAGGGGACUGUUUUUAAGGUAGUAAAACACAAGGACCUUCACAAGACAGUGGAAAUGACUUCAUACUUCAAGAGGUCCCAAAAUUUUUGUGUGUAUUUUACAACCUUCUCUCUUCACCCUUAGUUACUAGUCAUAUAAUAAUUUAUAUCUUUUCAAUUUGAUGUUAAAAGAUUAUAAUUUGGCCAGGGUGAGCGUGGUGGCUCAUGCCUGUAAUCCCAGCACUCUGGGAGGCUGAGGCGGGAGGCUCACUUGAGCCCAGGAGUUUGAGACCAGUCUGGGUUAUAUAGUGAGACCUCAUCUCUAUGAAAAAAAUUUUAAAAUUAGCCAGGUGUGAUGGGGUGGUGCAUGCUUGUAGUCCCAACUACUUGAGGGGCUGAGGUGGGAGAACUGCUUGAGCCCCAGAGCCUGAGGGUGCAGAUCGAAGCAUUCCACUGCAGCCUAGGCAACUGAGCAAGACCCUGUCUGG